GAAGGUACAGCUCAGUGGUAGAGCGUGUGUUUAGCUUGCUCAAGGUCCUGGGUUCAAUCCCCAGUACCUCCA
rfam:Camelus ferus unplaced genomic scaffold scaffold688, whole genome shotgun sequence.